rnacentral:rRNA from 1 species
GAUGAACGCUGGCGGCGUGCCUAAUACAUGCAAGUCGAACGAAACUUCUUUAUCACCGAGUGCUUGCACUCACCGAUAAAGAGUUGAGUGGCGAACGGGUGAGUAACACGUGGGCAACCUGCCCAAAAGAGGGGGAUAACACUUGGAAACAGGUGCUAAUACCGCAUAACCAUAGUUACCGCAUGGUGACUAUGUAAAAGGUGGCUAUACUACCGCUUUUGGAUGGGCCCGCGGCGCAUUAGCUAGUUGGUAGGGUAAAGGCUUACCAAGGCAAUGAUGCGUAGCCGAAUUGAGAGGUUGAUCGGCCACAUUGGGACUGAGACACGGCCCAAACUCCUACGGGAGGCAGCAGUAGGGAAUCUUCCACAAUGGGCGAAAGCCUGAUGGAGCAACGCCGCGUGGGUGAAGAAGGUCUUCGGAUCGUAAAACCCUGUUGUUAGAGAAGAAAGUGCGUGAGAGUAACUGUUCACGUUUCGACGGUAUCUAACCAGAAAGCCACGGCUAACUACGUG